rnacentral:rRNA from 1 species
AUUGAACGCUGGCGGCAGGCUUAACACAUGCAAGUCGAGCGGGGGAAGGUAGCUUGCUACCGGACCUAGCGGCGGACGGGGGAGUAAUGCUUAGGAAUCUGCCUAUUAGUGGGGGACAACAUCUCGAAAGGGAUGCUAAUACCGCAUACGUCCUACGGGAGAAAGCAGGGGAUCUUCGGACCUUGCGCUAAUAGAUGAGCCUAAGUCGGAUUAGCUAGUUGGUGGGGUAAAGGCCUACCAAGGCGACGAUCUGUAGCGGGUCUGAGAGGAUGAUCCGCCACCCUGGGGAUGGGACACGGCGCAGACUCCUACGGGAGGCAGCAGUGGGGAAUAUUGGACAAUGGGGGGAACCCUGAUCCGGCCAUGCCGCGUGUGUGAAGAAGGCCUUAUGGUUGUAAAGUACUUUAAGCGAGGAGGAGGCUACUCUAGUUAAUACCUAGGGAUAGUGGACGUUACUCGCAGAAUAAGCACCGGUUAACUCUGUGCCAGCCGCCGCGGUAA